GAUGAACGCUGGCGGCGUGCCUAAUACAUGCAAGUCGAGCGAACGGACGAGAAGCUUGCUUCUCUGAUGUUAGCGGCGGACGGGUGAGUAACACGUGGAUAACCUACCUAUAAGACUGGGAUAACUUCGGGAAACCGGAGCUAAUACCGGAUAAUAUUUUGAACCGCAUGGUUCAAAAGUGAAAGACGGUCUUGCUGUCACUUAUAGAUGGAUCCGCGCUGCAUUAGCUAGUUGGUAAGGUAACGGCUUACCAAGGCAACGAUGCAUAGCCGACCUGAGAGGGUGAUCGGCCACACUGGAACUGAGACACGGUCCAGACUCCUACGGGAGGCAGCAGUAGGGAAUCUUCCGCAAUGGGCGAAAGCCUGACGGAGCAACGCCGCGUGAGUGAUGAAGGUCUUCGGAUCGUAAAACUCUGUUAUUAGGGAAGAACAUAUGUGUAAGUAACUGUGCACAUCUUGACGGUACCUAAUCAGAAAGCCACGGCUAACUACGUGCCAGCAGCCGCGGUAAUACGUAGGUGGCAAGCGUUAUCCGGAAUUAUUGGGCGUAAAGCGCGCGUAGGCGGUUUUUUAAGUCUGAUGUGAAAGCCCACGGCUCAACCGUGGAGGGUCAUUGGAAACUGGAAAACUUGAGUGCAGAAGAGGAAAGUGGAAUUCCAUGUGUAGCGGUGAAAUGCGCAGAGAUAUGGAGGAACACCAGUGGCGAAGGCGACUUUCUGGUCUGUAACUGACGCUGAUGUGCGAAAGCGUGGGGAUCAAACAGGAUUAGAUACCCUGGUAGUCCACGCCGUAAACGAUGAGUGCUAAGUGUUAGGGGGUUUCCGCCCCUUAGUGCUGCAGCUAACGCAUUAAGCACUCCGCCUGGGGAGUACGACCGCAAGGUUGAAACUCAAAGGAAUUGACGGGGACCCGCACAAGCGGUGGAGCAUGUGGUUUAAUUCGAAGCAACGCGAAGAACCUUACCAAAUCUUGACAUCCUUUGACAACUCUAGAGAUAGAGCUUUCCCCUUCGGGGGGCAAAGUGACAGGUGGUGCAUGGUUGUCGUCAGCUCGUGUCGUGAGAUGUUGGGUUAAGUCCCGCAACGAGCGCAACCCUUAAGCUUAGUUGCCAUCAUUAAGUUGGGCACUCUAAGUUGACUGCCGGUGACAAACCGGAGGAAGGUGGGGAUGACGUCAAAUCAUCAUGCCCCUUAUGAUUUGGGCUACACACGUGCUACAAUGGACAAUACAAAGGGCAGCGAAACCGCGAGGUCAAGCAAAUCCCAUAAAGUUGUUCUCAGUUCGGAUUGUAGUCUGCAACUCGACUACAUGAAGCUGGAAUCGCUAGUAAUCGUAGAUCAGCAUGCUACGGUGAAUACGUUCCCGGGUCU
rnacentral:rRNA from 1 species